GAAUCUUCACGGUAAGACAGAGGAUCUGGUACUGAGAACAGUUCGACAGGACAUGAAGGUCAUACAAGAACCACACAUACUCACAUAUCUACAGUGGAGAAUAAAAAUUGAAGAAGAAACAUCAGAGUCCUUGCAUUCUAACCGGAUGUGCCAUAGUGAUUGCAAACCUUUACUAACCAGCCCCAAAUGAAUACUUCACAACAACUGGACUUCAAGCUACUUGGGCUACGAGCUUCUCCACCCUUCCUCCAGACUCUAGGACCUUGGUUUCCAAAUGAAAUACAAAACUUGCUCUCGUCUGAAAAGAGGACUUUGGACCACUUGGCAACAGUCCAGUUCUUCUUCUCCUUAGCCCAGGUAAGACGUCUCUGACGUUGUCUGUGGUUCAGGAGUGGCUUAACAAGAGAAAUACAACAACUGUAGCCAAAUUCCUUGACACGUCUGUGUGUGGUGGCUCUUGAUGCCUUGACCCCAGCCUCAGUCCAUUCCUUGUGAAGUUCACUCAAAUUCUUGAAUGGAUUUUGCUUGACAAUCCUCAUAAGGCUGUGGUUCUCUCGGUUGGUUGUGCAUCUUUUUCUUCCACACUUUUUCCUUCCACUCAACUUUCUGUUAACAUGCUUGGAUACAGCACUCUGUGAACAGCCAGCUUUUUUUUUGGCAAUGAAUGUUUGUGGCUUACCCUCCUUGUGAAGGGUGUCAGUGAUUGUCUUCUGGACAACUGUCAGACCAGCAGUCUUCCCCAUGAUUGUGUAGCCUAGUGAACCAAACUGAGAGACCAUUUUAAAGGCUCAGGAAACCUUUGCAGGUGUUUUGAGUUGAUCAGCUGAUUGGCAUGUCACCAUAUUCUAAUUUGUUGAGAUUGUGAAUUGGUGGGUUUUUGUUAAAUGUGAGCCAAAAUCAUCACAAUUAAAAGAACCAAAUACUUAAACUA
ensembl:lncRNA